rnacentral:lncRNA from 1 species
CCGUAUUGCGGGUGACUUUUAAGUUUAUGGUAUUGACCUGCAUUUUAUUGAUUUGGAGGUUAAUUUUGCAAAACAAAAACUACAUUAAUGGUUUUUUUGCACAAAACCCUUUAAAAAUCCUUGUAAACCCUUUAAAGAAAAUUUAGCGGGAAAAAUUUUGUAAUUUUUUUUUUUUUUGCGGAAAGUUUUUUGGCUGGAAAAUUUUGUCGAAAACUUGUUGGCGGGAAAUUUUUUGUCGGAUAAUUUUUUGGCGGGAAAAUUUUGGAAGGAAUAUUCCAUCCAAAGGAAAGAAUAUUCUUUCAACUAGGGACAAAAUAGUCACUAAAUGUUUA